rnacentral:rRNA from 1 species
CGAGGGGGUGACAAACGUUGUUCGGAAUUACUGGGCGUAAAGCGCGUGUAGGCUGCUCGGAAAGUCGGGUGUGAAAGCCCUGGGCUCAACCUAGGAAGUGCACUCGAAACUUCCGAGCUGAGAUCUGGAGAGGAAGGCGGAAUUCUCGGUGUAGAGGUGAAAUUCGUAGAUAUCGAGAGGAACACCGGUGGCGAAGGCGGCCUUCUGGACAGCAUCUGACGCUGAGACGCGAAAGCGUGGGGAGCAAACAGGAUUAGAUACCCUGGUAGUCCACGCCGUAAACGAUGGGUGCUAGGUGUCGCGGGCUUUGACCCCUGCGGUGCCGCAGCUAACGCAUUAAGCACCCCGCCUGGGGAGUACGGCCGCAAGGCUA